rnacentral:rRNA from 1 species
AGCGAACGCUGGCGGCAGGCCUAACACAUGCAAGUCGAACGAACUCUUCGGAGUUAGUGGCGGACGGGUGAGUAACACGUGGGAACGUGCCUUUAGGGUCGGAAUAACUCAGGGAAACUUGUGCUAAUACCGAAUGUGCCCUUCGGGGGAAAGAUUUAUUGACUUUCGAGCGGCCCGCGUCUGAUUAGCUAGUUGGUGAGGUAAAGGCUCACCAAGGCGACGAUCAGUAGCUGGUCUGAGAGGAAGAUCAGCCACAUUGGGAGUGAGACGCGGCCCAAACUCCUACGGGAGGCAGCAGUGGGGAAUCUUGCGCAAUGGGCGAAAGCCUGACGCAGCCAUGCCGCGUGAAUGAUGAAGGUCUUAGGAUUGUAAAAUUCUUUCACCGGGGACGAUAAUGACGGUACCCGGAGAAGAAGCCCCGGCUAACUUCGUG